rnacentral:rRNA from 1 species
GACGAACGCUGGCGGCGUGCUUAACACAUGCAAGUCGAACGGAAAGGCCCUGCUUUUGUGGGGUGCUCGAGUGGCGAACGGGUGAGUAACACGUGAGUAACCUGCCCUUGACUUUGGGAUAACUUCAGGAAACUGGGGCUAAUACCGGAUAGGAGCUCCUGCUGCAUGGUGGGGGUUGGAAAGUUUCGGCGGUUGGGGAUGGACUCGCGGCUUAUCAGCUUGUUGGUGGGGUAGUGGCUUACCAAGGCUUUGACGGGUAGCCGGCCUGGGAGGGUGACCGGCCACAUGGGGACUGAGAUACGGCCCAGACUCCUACGGGAGGCAGCAGUGGGGAGUAUUGCACAGUGGGCGGAAGCCUGAUGCAGCAACGCCGCGUGCGGGAUGACGGCCUUCGGGUUGUAAACCGCUUUCGCCUGUGACGAAGCGUGAGUGACGGUAAUGGGUAAAGAAGCACCGGCUAACUACGUG